UUAAUCAAGAGUUCGAAUUCUAACCCAUAGAGUAAUAGUAAUAUUACCCUAUGUUCUAACCUCACAGAACAAUAAAUUUUAAAUAAUAAUAUUAUAUUAUGGCCAUAAAAAUCAUGACAAAUUAAAUAGUUAAGUCGGCAACUCGUGAUACGCACGUCUAUGACGUAAGCAUUUCUCCAUCAGACUUAGCGGUGGAGUAGUGGUGGAGUCUUCGGCGGCGGUGGCUAUUUGCGGCAGGGGCGGCAGUGGACCAAUGAGAACCGGAGAAAUGCCCACGUCACAGCACAUGGCUGAGCGAAGGGUGGGUGCGCGAUUUGUUUCUAAACCGCCAAACCGAUACUUGAAAAUUACACUGAAUGUCAAUGCCCUGGAUCUGCCACUGUUAAAUUCAGCCAUUAAAAUGUGUUGAAAAGCAGGUCCUUCAAAAUUGUCAUAAACAAAAACUUGACUUUUUUUCAAUGAUGUCAUAUUACAAACAUCUGAUUCACUGAUCACAUUAGUGAUUUUUCAAAUGAACAACAGUCAACAAAUAACAUUUAGCGGGAGCAGGAUUAACUUCUUUUAUCAUGAUACUACAUUCAUAUUGUGCGAUAACGUUUCUGAUUAUUUUGAAAAAUUGAAUCUCCUCACCAUGGUUACCAC